rnacentral:rRNA from 1 species
ACCCAGACUCCUACGGGAGGCAGCAGUGGGGAAUAUUGCACAAUGGGGGGAACCCUGAUGCAGCGACGCCGCGUGAAGGAAGAAGUAUUUCGGUAUGUAAACUUCUAUCAGCAGGGAAGAAGCAAGACGGUACCUGACUAAGAAGCCCCGGCUAACUACGUGCCAGCAGCCGUGGUAAUACGUAGGGGGCGAGCGUUAUCCGGAUUCACUGGGUGUAAAGGGAGCGUAGACGGCCAUGCAAGCCAGGGGUGAAAGCCCGGGGCCCAACCCCGGGACUGCCCUUGGAACUGCAUGGCUGGAGUGCGGGAGGGGCAGGCGGAAUUCCUGGUGUAGCGGUGAAAUGCGUAGAUAUCAGGAGGAACACCGGCGGCGAAGGCGGCCUGCUGGACCGCGACUGACGUUGAGGCUCGAAAGCGUGGGGAGCGAACAGGAUUAGAUGCCCUUGUA